rnacentral:sRNA from 1 species
UUUUCUUUUUGUUCCUGAGUAUAGUGACAAUAGUCUAUACUUUAUCUUGAAAUCUUUUUUUUUUUAAAUAAGAUACUUAGGUCCUGUUUGUUUGGCCAUUUGGAUGAACCAUCUCAAUGAAUAUUAAAACUAAUGUUUGUUUUUCAUGUUUUAAUAGAUCAUCUGAAUGAUUCAGUUGAAUGAUUAUUUUUAAACUCAUCCAGAAAAUGAAGAAAAUCAGACUGAGUUUGAUCUGUUCAUUCUGCUGAAGAUGAUUCAGUCAAAAUUAUAAAAUGUCAAUAAUACCCUUAUUUAAUUUAUGGAAUUACACCAAAAACCACAUCUCAUCUUCAGCUUUUCCUCGACACAAAACAGAGAAAAUCAAAAUUUUGAUCUUGUGAUCUCGCCGUCGUCGACGAGAAUCGGUCGCCGGAGAUCUCGUCGGAUCCAUCGCUGGAGUGUAACAGGUUUGUGUUGCUCUCUCUCUCUCUCUCUCUCUCUCUCUCUCUCUCUCUCUCUCUCUCUCU